UCUGCAGCUGUUCUUCUUCUGCUUCUCGUAGGACCACCAUGAGGAUCUCAGGGUCUAGAACCUUAGCCUCAUGAUGUCUGUGAGCAAAACACCCUAUGUGUCCAUGCUAAGCUGGGACUCAACGUCAGCGUCAGAGACAACAUUUUAUGGAACAAGAGCUAGCUGCUGAGGUCUGACACACAGAGGUGCUCUCUCGUAGGCAGACUUGCGAUCCAUGCCGUGGUCAAGACUGAAAUGCCCUCACGGAGGAGACCUCGAUGUCAGUGGUGCUCACACACCGUUGCCUUGGUCAUGGGGCACAGGGAUGGCACGUGAGGGGUGAUAGUGCCAAGGUGGAUACACGCGAGUGCUGCAUUUCCUGCAGCCCCCCUCACUCUCCUCCAGCAAUGUUCUCCCUGAUGCUUGUAUCAAACGCAGUGGACUGGUGCUGUUUCUUGACUCUGCGUCCACGUCGCCUGAUUUUCUGAUGGACUCAUGGUUAACAGUAGACAUGGCUCUCCUGACUACAGAAAAGGGGGGUGGGGAGGGGAGAGCAACAUGGACAUUGGAGAGAGCAGGGCAACAUACACUCAAGCUGCUCUAUCAAUUAUAUUUAUUAUUCUGUAAUAGGGACAAGGAGUGUUCAAGAUCAGUAGCUAAGUGGUUAAGAGGAAAACUGUAUUAACCGCUGGCCUAGGCUCAGUCCCUAGGGUUGCCUGAAGAAGAGGAUUAGGGUGAUACAUGGAGAGGAGGGUUC
rnacentral:lncRNA from 1 species